GUUACAAUCUACUGCCAUGGAAAGGUGCCACAGCCGAGACUCCUUCCCACCACUUCCAAAGACCCUAGAGUGGGCUUGGAUUUGCCUCAUAAGCAUGUUUCAUCUACAGGCUAAGAGGCAGAGCAGAUGCCAAGUUUCAAGCCACAACAUUCUUGCCACUUCAAACUAAACCAGGGAUGAGCGGAAGAUGAAAUGAUUCAUCACAGCAGAGACAGCUUCCGGAGAACAAGAUGAGAUGAGACGAGAGUGGGAGCCGAGUCAUUUUAUAUCUCCCAGAGAAAUACACAAAGCUAAGAUUAAUUGUAGCGGCUGGAAGCCAAUAAUCUGUGAAGACGGACUGGGAGGAAACCUAUUGCUCCACAGGUGUGAUUUUUGAUGCAGUGUUUGUCCAGUGUCUGAGUUUAGAUAAACAUCUCUCAUCCUCUGCUACCUGCUGAACAAACUAGAAGCCAACUAACUUUAAACAGUGGAUUCUAAAAGUAUCCUA